GACGAACGCUGGCGGCACGCUUAACACAUGCAAGUCGAACGAGAACCUCGGAGCUUGCUCCGGGGGGACAGUGGCGAACGGGUGAGUAACACGUGAGGAACCUGCCCCGAAGACCGGGACAACACCGGGAAACCGGUGCUAAUACCGGAUGCCCUCGCCGGAUCGCAUGAUCCGGUGAGGAAAUGGAUUCCGCUUCGGGAUGGCCUCGCGGCCUAUCAGCUUGUUGGGGGGGUAACGGCCCACCAAGGCUUCGACGGGUAGCUGGUCUGAGAGGAUGUCCAGCCACACUGGGACUGAGACACGGCCCAGACUCCUACGGGAGGCAGCAGUGGGGAAUCUUGCGCAAUGGGCGAAAGCCUGACGCAGCGAUGCCGCGUGCGGGAUGAAGGCCUUCGGGUUGUAAACCGCUUUCAGCAGGGACGAAAUUGACGGUACCGCAGAAGAAGCCCCGGCCAACUACGUGCCAGCCGCCGCCGUAAUAC
rnacentral:rRNA from 1 species